rnacentral:rRNA from 1 species
GACGAACGCUGGCGGCGUGCUUAACACAUGCAAGUCGAACGGAAAGGCCCUGCUUUUGUGGGGUGCUCGAGUGGCGAACGGGUGAGUAACACGUGAGUAACCUGCCCUUGACUUUGGGAUAACUUCAGGAAACUGGGGCUAAUACCGGAUAGGAGCUCCUGCUGCAUGGUGGGGGUUGGAAAGUUUCGGCGGUUGGGGAUGGACUCGCGGCUUAUCAGCUUGUUGGUGGGGUAGUGGCUUACCAAGGCUUUGACGGGUAGCCGGCCUGAGAGGGUGACCGGCCACAUUGGGACUGAGAUACGGCCCAGACUCCUACGGGAGGCAGCAGUGGGGAAUAUUGCACAAUGGGCGGAAGCCUGAUGCAGCAACGCCGCGUGCGGGAUGACAGCCUUCGGGUUGUAAACCGCUUUCGCCUGUGACGAAGCGUGAGUGACGGUAAUGGGUAAAGAAGCACCGGCUAACUACGUGCCAGCAGCCGCGGUGAUACGUAGGGUGCGAGCGUUGUCCGGAUUUAUUGGGCGUAAAGGGCUCGUAGGUGGUUGAUCGCGUCGGAAGUGUAAUCUUGGGGCUUAACCCUGAGCGUGCUUUCGAUACGGGUUGACUUGAGGAAGGUAGGGGAGAAUGGAAUUCCUGGUGGAGCGGUGGAAUGCGCAGAUAUCAGGAGGAACACCAGUGGCGAAGGCGGUUCUCUGGGCCUUUCCUGACGCUGAGGAGCGAAAGCGUGGGGAGCGAACAGGCUUAGAUACCCUGGUAGUCCACGCUGUAAACGGUGGGUACUAGGUGUGGGGUCCAUUCCACGGGUUCCGUGCCGUAGCUAACGCUUUAAGUACCCCGCCUGGGGAGUACGGCCGCAAGGCUAAAACUCAAAGGAAUUGACGGGGCCCCGCACAAGCGGCGGAGCAUGCGGAUUAAUUCGAUGCAACGCGUAGAACCUUACCUGGGUUUGACAUGGAUCGGGAGUGCUCAGAGAUGGGUGUGCCUCUUUUGGGGUCGGUUCACAGGUGGUGCAUGGCUGUCGUCAGCUCGUGUCGUGAGAUGUUGGGUUAAGUCCCGCAACGAGCGCAACCCUUGUUCACUGUUGCCAGCACGUUAUGGUGGGGACUCAGUGGAGACCGCCGGGGUCAACUCGGAGGAAGGUGGGGAUGGCGUCAAGUCAUCAUGCCCCUUAUGUCCAGGGCUUCACGCAUGCUACAAUGGCUGGUACAGAGAGUGGCGAGCCUGUGAGGGUGAGCGAAUCUCGGAAAGCCGGUCUCAGUUCGGAUUGGGGUCUGCAACUCGACCUCAUGAAGUCGGAGUCGCUAGUAAUCGCAGAUCAGCAACGCUGCGGUGAAUACGUUCCCGGGGCU